GGAGUAAAUCAUGGCCAUCGGAUUAAAAACAGUUUGGACGCUCAGGAUUGCGCCACGUCAUCAGUCAACAGUCCACGGUUUGACCACGCGGAUGAACAGUAACACGGUUUGACCCGGAUGAACAGUAACGCGGUUUGGUUGAAAAUAAUCCUGUGUGAUGCAUGCACCGUACGUGAGAUUUUUCGUCCACUGAUAUGCUGCCACGUCACCAUCAACAGUACAUAAGAAUUUUAGCCCAACAGGAUCAUGACACCUCAUCAGUCAAUGCCACAUCAUCGGUCAAUGCCACGUCAUCAUCCGUCUAUGUGAACAGUGUCGUGAACAGUAACGUAUACAGUACCGUACACGUGAAUACUACCGUACAUGUGAAUAGUGUCAUUUUUCCUUUUAUGCUCCUCUUAAGGUUUUUGACCGUCCUGAGUUCAAAAGUGAUGUCCGUUUUUCCGUCUGAUUUCUCCUUUAUUGUGAAAUGACUAUAAUGCCCCUAAAAUACAUAAAAUACUUAAUUAAAAUAAAACACAUGUAAUUAAAUCACAAGAAGGUUAAAUAAAUAAAAGUAAGGGUUGUUAAUAAGACUUGAAAUAUAAAAUGACGGUUUUCUCCUUUAUAAAUAUGCAUUUUCUAACACUCAACACACCCCCCAACCAGCUUAUUGGUAGUCCCUAGCAAAUGAAGCGAAAAUAAAAUUCAAAUUCAAAAUGAGUUUUUUUUUAAAAAUUUAGAAACACUCGUGUUUAUUCAAUCAGAUUAAUGAUAGCAAUCAAAUAAAAGUAUAAGCAUUAUCUCCAGUCUAAAGUAACAUCACACCCACAUCAACCAUCCACAUGAAUCAACCCAGUAGACUUUGUUAUAGCUACUUUCAAGAAUGACAUGUCAAACCCCAAAAUCUCACUGGAAGUAGUGACACUCUCACAAAGAAAUUAAACCCAAUAAAAAUAGUCACUCCAAUGAAUGGUAAUUGAGCGAAAAUAAUGAAGAAGUGAUAUCACAUGCUCUCACCAAGAUGAAAUAAAUAUGCCCUCAGCUUAAAAAUAAUACGAUCUCAAGUCAAAUAAAAACUGUUAGUCAACCCAAU
rnacentral:lncRNA from 1 species